UUAAAAAAACCCUUUUUCCCUUUUUUUUUUAAAUUAAAUUGGGGGGGGAAACCGGGAAAAAAACCCCCCCGGGGGGGUUAAUUUUUCCCUUAACCCCCCGGAAAUUUGGAACGGGGUACCCCAAUAGGGAAAAUAAGCCCACCCGGGCCUAAACCCUUUCCGUGCCAGCAGCCGCGGUAAUACGGAGGGUGCAAGCGUUAUCCGGAUUCACUGGGUUUAAAGGGUGCGUAGGAGGGCAGGUAAGUCAGUGGUGAAAUCUUCGAGCUUAACUCGGAAACUGCCGUUGAUACUAUCUGUCUUGAAUACCGUGGAGGUGAGCGGAAUAUGUCAUGUAGCGGUGAAAUGCUUAGAUAUGACAUAGAACACCGAUUGCGAAGGCAGCUCACUACACGAAUAUUGACUCUGAGGCACGAAAGCGUGGGGAUCAAACAGGAUUAGAUACCCUGGUAGUCCACGCCCUAAACUAUGGAUACUCGACAUACGCGAUACACUGUGUGUGUCUGAGCGAAAGCAUUAAGUAUCCCACCUGGGAAGUACGACCGCAAGGUUGAAACUCAAAGGAAUUG
rnacentral:rRNA from 1 species